rnacentral:rRNA from 1 species
AACGAACGCUGGCGGCAUGCCUAACACAUGCAAGUCGAACGAGACCUUCGGGUCUAGUGGCGCACGGGUGCGUAACGCGUGGGAAUCUGCCCUUGGGUUCGGAAUAACAGUUAGAAAUGACUGCUAAUACCGGAUGAUGACGUAAGUCCAAAGAUUUAUCGCCCAAGGAUGAGCCCGCGUAGGAUUAGCUUGUUGGUGAGGUAAAGGCUCACCAAGGCGACGAUCCUUAGCUGGUCUGAGAGGAUGAUCAGCCACACUGGGACUGAGACACGGCCCAGACUCCUACGGGAGGCAGCAGUGGGGAAUAUUGGACAAUGGGCGAAAGCCUGAUCCAGCAAUGCCGCGUGAGUGAUGAAGGCCUUAGGGCUGUAAAGCUCUUUUACCCGGGAUGAUAAUGACAGUACCGGGAGAAUAAGCCCCGGCUAACUCCGUGCCAGCCGCCGCUGUAAAAC